GAUGAACGCUGGCGGCGUGCCUAAUACAUGCAAGUCGAGCGAACGGACGAGAAGCUUGCUUUUCUGAUGUUAGCGGCGGACGGGUGAGUAACACGUGGAUAACCUACCUAUAAGACUGGGAUAACUUCGGGAAACCGGAGCUAAUACCGGAUAAUAUUUUGAACCGCAUGGUUCAAAAGUGAAAGACGGUCUUGCUGUCACUUAUAGAUGGAUCCGCGCUGCAUUAGCUAGUUGGUAAGGUAACGGCUUACCAAGGCAACGAUGCAUAGCCGACCUGAGAGGGGGAUAGGCCACACGGGAACGGAGACACGGUCCAGACGCCUACGGGAGGCAGCAGUAGGGAAUCUUCGGCAAUGGGCGAAAGCCUGACGGAGCAACGCCGCGUGAGAGAUGAAGAUCUUGGGAUCGUAAAACUCGGUUAUUAGGGAAAAACAUAUGUGUAAGUAACUGUGCAGAUCGUGACGGUACCUAAUCAGAAAGCCACGGCUAACUACGUG
rnacentral:rRNA from 1 species